rnacentral:rRNA from 1 species
GAUCAGUGGCUCGAGGACGAACGCUGGCGGUGUGCUUCACACAUGCAAGUCGAACGAGGUAGCAAUACCUAGUGGCGGACGGGUGAGUAACGCGUGGGAAUCUGCCUUUAGAUGGGGGAUAACGGGUCGAAAGACUCGCUAAUACCGCAUAUGACGAAAGUUGAAAGGAGUAAUCCGUCUAAAGAUGAGCCCGCGUCCGAUUAGCUAGUUGGUAGAGUAAAAGCCUACCAAGGCGACGAUCGGUAGCUGGUCUGAGAGGAUGAUCAGCCACAAUGGGACUGAGACACGGCCCAUACUCCUACGGGAGGCAGCAGUGGGAAUUUUACGCAAUGGGCGAAAGCCUGACGUAGCGACACCGCGUGAGCGAAGAAGCCCCUUGGGGUGUAAAGCUCUGUCAGCUGGAACGAAAAAAAUGACGGUACCAGCAGAGGAAGCAUCGGCUAACUACGUG